GCCCAUCUUCUGGACAUUUCCGAUCAUUUCUCUCUCUCUAUGAUCUAUCUUGUCUCUACGAUCUAUCUUCUCUCUACGAUUUCUAUCUGUCUCUGUAUUGCAUACGGUUUAGGCCGUGAUGCCGGCUAAAUUUGCUAAGAUGCUUGUAUACUCAACUCAUUCUUGUGUAGAUCAUACUUUAUAUUUUGUAACAGAGCCAGAGGGAGAUAGAAGAUUCAGAAUUUAGGGUAGUCCUAAAUUUCUUUCAGAUAUCGAACCCUACUUUUCUAAAGCACCGGCGAGUGUAAUGCUUCGUUGGUUCUAAUCCCCCUAAAUCUCUAGAUGAACGUCGAUCUGCAGAUUAGAGCUAUGGAUGUGAUGGAUCUCACAUCAUUUGCAAUCGGAGGAAAGUAAGGAUGAACUUGGUGAUACACUUGUAAUUGCCUCUUAAUUCUGAUCUGGAUAUAGUGUAUAUGUUAUUUUAAUUAGGUUAGAGUCACUUGGAACUGCAACUCUUUGUAAAAAGUCUCUUGUCUUAGCUUUUAGUUGUAAAGGUUCAUCUGAAUUAUUACACAGUAGCAUAAAGUUGUAAUCUGGUAUUUUAAGACUUAUUGGUGAAGUUAAGAGUAUUUUGGUGUACAUAUAUAUAGUUGGUUUGAUCACUUUGGUAUUUUAACAUCGAUAAUCUAUAAUUGACAUUAUAUAUAUAAGCUUUGUCGAGAAGAAGGCUGGCUUCUGGAUAUUUUCGAUCUGCACUCUCUCUGUCUACAGCACUAUCAAGGAUCUGAAGUUUGCUAUGAGGUUUCUUAUACUCCUCAUUCUUCUAGAUAUCAAACGAUUCCGUAAGUCAUGACCCACGAUGCCGAGCUGCAAUCCUCGACGUCGUCCGCCUCUUCUUCACCAAUUUACAUCCACCCAAGAUGUGAGCCCUUCGAGCACGGCCUUCUCCCCAUUCCCAAGCUCAUCUUCACCGACGGCACCGAAACAAUGGGCCCCAUUUAGGACAAGCUCUUCUACCCAAUCGCAUCACAUUUCCGAUUUCCUCCAGAUCUCACCUCAGGUACUAAGCAGUGCGAUCAUAUGCUCGCAGUAGACGUUACUAUGAUCUAUUUAAGGGUCGUGUACCUGGAGCCAAGGAAUUCAGGAAAACUUGGGCUAAAGAAAUGGAAGAUGAGGAUAACUGUUUAUGGACUGGAAGUGAGGGCGAGAGUGAGCCAAGUUCUUUGAAGAAGGAAAUCAGAAAGGCCAAACAACGAGCUAUAGAGCACUCAGAUCGCAUUGAUGCAGACGACAGUGAUGAGUUAAGAAGUGUGUGGUCUGGUAGUGAUGAAGAGAAAACGCUGUGGACCGGUAGUGAAGGAGAUGAUGAUGAUGACAUUCCUACAGAAGCUUAUCCAAACGAGAAGAGUGAUGAAUAUAUAGAUAAACUGUUUGAGUUUGAUGAAAAGCCAAAGUAUACAACACUCUCUGAGGCUGAGGCUUUAAAAGAUGAGGAGGAGCCAAAAGAGUUAUCGCCUGGAAAGCAAGCUAGGAAACUUGCAGUUGAAAAUGCCCUUAAGAGAUUGAAGUAGGGGCCUGAUGGUAGAUACAUCAAUGUGUGAUCUGGACAUUCUAAUAGGGGCUUUUGAGAACAUCAUUUCAGGGCCAGAAUAUGCUGAACUCAGGCAGGGGGGACCUAGGAAGUUGAAUAUGCAGUUUUUUAAGGACAUUCUUGCUCGUAUGAGAGAUCCAAACUAUAAGUUCUCUCCUGAACUGAAGUUAAAACCGAAGAGCAAAGUGGUCCCGAGAAAGAAGUGGCAGAAGGUAGAAUCUAGACGUAGGAAAGCCCGGAAGCGCUAGCUAAGUUGUAGCCUUUUCUUGGCAUCCAAACUUUUGUAGGUGACUGAAGAAAUGGAGAUGGCAUUUGUAGAAUUUAAUGCAGAAAAGAGUUUCAGCUUUAAUUUGAGAAUACUUGUUAGAUGCUGUCAAAGAUUUGUUUGAUGAAAUGAGGGAUGAUGAAAUAUUGCCUGGUCGAGCUAUGCAAUGGUCAUUCCAGUGAAUGCAGGAGGCAGGUUAUGAUGAAAGUGUGAAUGAAUUGAUCAGAGAAAUGCUUCCAGAUAGGAGAAUUAAGAGUAUUGCAUAUUCCAUGGAUGUUAAUGAGGAAGAAAAUGCUGACUUUGUUUCUGAAGAUGUUGGAGAUCAACUUCAAUUGAAGCCAUGGCUGGACCCUGCUGCUUUAACUAGUGCAUUGCAGCAUUGGAGGGUGGAAAAUUUGUGUGGACAACUAGGUGCAAUUUCUUUUGCUGGGUUUCUUAUUUACCAGGAUUUACUCAUUAUUUUUACACAAUGUGAAGGAUGAUUGCCAAGUUGGCUCGUGUCCAUUUAGUUGAUAAACUUUUGUCUAAGAUGGAAAAAGAGGGUUUUAGGUUGUCA